rnacentral:rRNA from 1 species
AUUGAACGCUGGCGGCAGGCCUAACACAUGCACGUCGAGCGGAUGACGGGAGCUUGCUCCUUGAUUCAGCGGCGGACGGGUGAGUAAUGCCUAGGAAUCUGCCUGGUAGUGGGGGACAACGUUUCGAAAGGAACGCUAAUACCGCAUACGUCCUACGGGAGAAAGCAGGGGACCUUCGGGCCUUGCGCUAUCAGAUGAGCCUAGGUCGGAUUAGCUAGUAGGUGAGGUAAUGGCUCACCUAGGCGACGAUCCGUAACUGGUCUGAGAGGAUGAUCAGUCACACUGGAACUGAGACACGGUCCAGACUCCUACGGGAGGAAGCAGUGGGAAUAUUGGACAAUGGGCGAAAGCCUGAUCCAGCCAUGCCGCGUGUGUGAAGAAGGUCUUCGGAUUGUAAAGCACUUUAAGUUGGGAGGAAGGGCAGUAAGUUAAUACCUUGCUGUUUUGACGUUACCGACAGAAUAAGCACCGGCUAACUCUGUGCCAGCCGCCGCGGUAA